GACGAACGCUGGCGGCGCGCCUAACACAUGCAAGUCGAGCGGAGAUAUACGAAGAGUAAUCCGAGUAUAUCUUAGCGGCGGACGGGUGAGUAACGCGUGAGUGACCUGCCUCUUACAGGGGAAUAACGUGCCGAAAGGCACACUAAUACCGCAUAAGACCACGAAACCGCAUGGUUAUGAGGUCAAAGGAGCAAUCCGGUAAGAGAUGGGCUCGCGUCCGAUUAGAUAGUUGGUGAGGUAACGGCCCACCAAGUCGACGAUCGGUAGCCGACCUGAGAGGGUGAUCGGCCACAUUGGAACUGAGAGACGGUCCAAACUCCUACGGGAGGCAGCAGUGGGGAAUAUUGGGCAAUGGGGGAAACCCUGACCCAGCGACGCCGCGUGAGGGAAGAAGGUUUUC
rnacentral:rRNA from 1 species